GGUCCUUACAAAUUUGUUGGUUUUCUUUCCAGUUUUCCAUUUACUUGAUUAUAUCUUCUAGUGGGGUUCACUAUCAAAGGAGGCAAUUUGUUUACGAUUAAUGUUCUGAUUUGGAACAACUAUUAUGGAAAGUGUAUUUCCUUUUGUCCUCCUUUCCUAUGACAGAUACUGCCAAUUUGUUGGUUUAUUUUGAUUAGGCAGAAUACAUCGGGUGAGUGCUUUGGUUUAGGGCAUGAGGUUGUUCCUGACAUUGUGGUAAGCCUUAUAAGGUACUGCUAUCCUUACACGCUCUGAUGAUUCAUGAUUUUAUCACUGUGUCAUAGGUUUUGUUUUCU
rnacentral:misc_RNA from 1 species